GGGAGGCAUCAGGGCAGUUGAGGUUGUUAAUUGGGAUGAUAAAGUCCCCAAGUAUGAGGGAAGGAGUGCUAGAGGAGAGAAAGUGGGUUAGCAAGGAAGAAAAGUGUUCAAUGAAUAGCCUAGGAUGACGGGGGGGGGGGCGAUAGAUAAAGGUAAUUCUGAAAGGAGUGGGCUUAAAUAUGCGGACAGUGUGAACUUCAAAGGAAGUAAAGGAUAGGGCAGGGAGGAUAGGUUGAAAGGUACAUUGAGG